UUUUUUCCUCGCUGCGCACCCCGUGCAUGCGAGGGAGAGGGGGAGAGAGGCGUCGUGGCCGGCGCGGCGCGUGGUAAACCAAACCAAAUCCUCCUCCGCUCCGCUCCGCCCCACGGCCAUCCGCCCCGGUCGCCUCUCCUCUCCCCGAGCCACGGAAAAUGGCGCCAACCCCUCCCCAAUCUCCCGCGCGGCCCGGCCCCCGCCGCUAUUCCCCCCUCGCCUGACCUGGCCCGACCGCGCCCCCCCCAAACCCUAACCCCCGCGGCGGCCGGCCAUGGCGUCGCAGCCCAGGCCGCCGCCGCCGCCGCGCCCCAAGACGCGGGGCAACUACAACUGCGGCCGCUGCGGCCAGCCCAAGAAGGGCCACGUCUGCGUCGCCCCCAUCCCCGUCGCGGCCUCCCCGUCCGGGGCCGCCCCGUCCCCGUCGCCCUCCACCUCGUCGGGGGCCGCCAGCGCCAGCGGGGAUCAGAGGCUCCGCCGCGCCCUCUCGUUCGACGAGGCGGGGACCCCGUCCUCGCCCGAGAAGAAGCCCAAGGUGGAGGCGGACGCGGAGAUGGACGUGGCCGGCGGCGAGGAGGAGGAGGACGUGGUGAUGGAGGUGGGCGGCCGCCCGGUGCCCAGGGAGGUCAUGGCGGAGGUGCUGCGCCGGCUCGGGCCCCGCGGGGUCAUGGCCGCCGCGGGGGUCAGCCGCGGCUGGCGGGACUGCGCGGGCCGGGUCUGGCGGGCGGCCGACGAGCUCCGCCUCCGCGUCCUCGCCGCCUCGGGCGCCGGCCUCCUCGGCGCGCUGCUACCGCGGUGCCCCGCGCUCUCGCGCCUGCAGCUCCGAAUGGAAAGUGAUGUUGAUGCCACUACACUGGCAUGUCUUGCAUUUUCCUGCCCAAGUUUAAAUACUCUUGAGAUUACCAUGGCUGCCAAUGCAGUCAACAGGAUGACUGGAGAGGAUCUAGGUCGUUUUGUUUCGGCGAAGUCUUCUCUGUCAGUCCUCAAAAUUGGUGGUUGCUCUAAUUUGGAUUUUAUUAAUCUAUGCUCUUCAAGCCUUUCGGUUCUUUGGCUGUCAGAUCUUUGUUCCCUUUCAAAAUCGGUCAUGAACUGUCCUAAUAUGAGUGAACUCUCACUUUGCUUCGCACAACAAAGUAAUGAUUAUACUGAUAUGGUUACUUUGAUGGAUGGCAUUGGUCGUACAUGCCCUAACUUAAACAAAAUGCACAUAUCGUCAAAUCAAUUAUCCAAUGAAGCUGUAUUUGCUCUAGAGAGUGCUAAUCUCAGGGGACUGUCAAUGCUAUCUUUGAUUCUAGGUUCAAAAAUAACUGAUGCAGCUGUUGCAUCUAUUGUUCGAUUUUGCACAAGCUUGGAGUUGCUUGAUUUGAGUGGAUCUAGCAUCAGUGAUAAUGGUGUUGGGAUGAUAUGCAAGGCGUUCCCUCAUACUUUGUCAAGGCUGCUCCUUGCCCUCUGCCCAAAUGUGACUACACGUGGGAUCCAGUUAGCUACGGCACAGUUGCCACAUCUUCAACUCAUGGACUGUGGAAUGAGCCUAUGUGCUAAUUUGAACAAUGACAAAGAAGGGCCAUGUUUAGGUGAAAUCAAUGGAGGCAUUAGAAUCAUUCGAAAGUUGUGCACCUUAAAAAAGCAACCUGUUCUUCAGAAGCUUAUUAUAAAGCAUUGUAAUUUGAAGAAGCUCAGUCUGUGGGGUUGUUCAGCGAUUGAUGCUCUCUAUGUAAAUUGUCCACAAUUAAAUGAUCUCAAUCUCAACUCUUGCACAAAUUUACAUCCAGUGCCCAAAUUUGAAGAAUGUCCAUGCAGCUGGAUGCCAAGACAUGUUGAUUGGAGCAAUCAGAAAUCAGAAAAACAUCUUUAUAGGCUUCAUUGGCUCAGUUCCAGGAAACUUCACUGGGCAUCAACCUCAACAACCCACAUCCUGGAUAGGCAGGCAUUGCCGUCUUUCAAACUGAUGUCUGUGCGUGGCCACGAGUCACCUCAGGGCAAGCUACACUUGUGAUGAGGUGGCUCUGCCAUCCAUGGAUGUAUGGACAUUACUGCUGGUUCUGAAUGAGUUCGCUGCAGCUGACUCAUCUCUUCCAUGCAAGCGGCUAGCGGACGGCUCAAAACGUGUUCAACUCCCCCAAUUCCUACAACAUCAGCCGUCGGAGGAUGGCAAGUUGUUUGAAUCGAGCCAGACCCAGUGCACCAUGCAUCUUGACAUCGCCAGAGCCAGUUAGCUGAGCAAUUGUACACAUUAAUUCUUUGUGUAAUUACUGCAUUGCCUCAGAACCUAUAGUGUUUGUUGUAUAAGUUGCUAACUGUUGUGUAGGACUUGCAUGAAUUCCACAUCAUCUGUUUCUUGUAGAGCAAUAAUUUGUAACAAUGACCUUGUAUUCUAUUGGGAGCAAUAAUGAUCCUGGACCGUUUGGUGUGUCAGAGCAA